UACGGGGGGGGCAAGCGUUGUUCGGAAUUACUGGGCGUAAAGGGCUCGUAGGUGGCCAACUAAGUCAUACGUGAAAUCCCUCGGCUUAACCGGGGAACUGCGUCUGAUACUGGAUGGCUUGAGGUUGGGAGAGGGAUGCGGAAUUCCAGGUGUAGCGGUGAAAUGCGUAGAUAUCUGGAAGAACACCAAAGGCGAAGGCAGCGUCCUGGCUCGUAUCUGACGCUCAUGUGCGAAAGCUAGGGGAGCGAACGGG
rnacentral:rRNA from 1 species